UCCCCUGCGGCCGGGAGUUCUGAAGCCCAGGUUUAACAGAAACUCACAGACAUAACCUUCCUGGAAGAAGAAACAACCAAAACUUGAUGCGGCCGGCGGAGAAGAAAGAAGAGGCUUCGUGUGGAACGGCGAGGCAAGAGUGAGCGAGAAGAGGAGCGGCGUCGGGCUGAAGAGCGAGCGGGCAGGAGAAAGGCGCUCUGGGCAAAGGGACCUCCCUGUCAGCAGGGCGCGGUCACGUAAGAGCAUCGCGGGCACCUUUGGGGUGCCCCGGCUGGCUUUGCGCUGGGCGACCUCCCUGUAACCAGGGCUCGGUCUUUGCUUUUGUUGUCGUCGGCCUUUUGCCGUCGUGCUCCUUUGGCUGCCCGGAGAGAGCGGCGACCCUGUAAGGAGGGUGAGAGCCGCCGUCUCCGCACCCGAGGGGGAAGGGGAGCUGUCUGGACCCCGAGCCCACCCUGUAAGCAGGGGAGGGCCGUUUCCCUGGCCCCGGCGGCUUUCUGCCUGCUGGAGGCCUGCCCAGCGUGACGCCCUGGAGUCAGGGCGUGUCACGGCGUUUGCCCCUUGGCCACCUGUGGAAGCCCCUUGGCAUGUUGAGGCCCCUGUGGCCUCCGUGCAGCCCGGGGGGCAGGUCUGAGGCUCUCCUCUCCCGCUCGGCGGUAGGGUUGGCUCCCCAGACAUUGGCUGCACAGGGCUCGCUCUCCUUUCUAGGAAGUUCUGUUUGUCCCUGUUUGCGUGCGUCCGUGUCUGCGUCUGUGUGAGUGAGCAGCGAAUGAGCUUCUUGUUUAGGCCCCUGUUAAUAUUGCUGCAGCGUACUUAGCUUGAGCUUCCCAGGAGGGAAAGGGCGGCUCUGUGCAGCAACAGGGGGGUCCCCUCUGAGCCCGCGAGCGGAGGGAGAGUCCGGGCUUGCCCCUCCUUUCUAUAAGGACGGAGCGAAGCCGCUUAGCGGUAGAGCGGGCAACGCGACCUGCCUGUAGUCAGGGCCUGGGUCUCUGUGCCUGCGUGGCCGCCUGUCCUGCUGGUGGCCUGCUCGGCGUGACAGCCCUGUACUCGGGGCGUGUGUCACGAGCCGUGGAGCCCUCUUGUCCCCAGGAGCAGCCCGACCUCCCCGUAAGCGGGGCUGGGGGGGCCGCUCUAGCCAGCCCACAGGAACGAGCCCUCCCUCGCCCUUUAGCGGGCGCAGGUUGAGGAAGCGCUGCGCCGGAGGGCGCAGUCCCGCCUUUGGCGCUGCUUUUGGCUGGGGCGACCUCCCCGCGGUUGGGGUCGAGGUCGCUCCCUGGGCUCCUGAAGACGUGGCGUUGUGCUGCAGCCAGGCCGGCCGGCCCGUAAGUCGGGCGCAGGUGGGAGCCUCGGGCUCCGCGGGGCUUGUUGGGAGAGCCGAGCCGAGGGGGGCCGCCCUGUAAGCAGGGCUGUGCGUGUCCCCCGCGCUCGGCGGGAGGUGCUUGGAGGGACCCCCUGUAAUCAGGCGGGUAUCUCCUGGCCCCGGCCUUUCAGAGGCGCGGGGCCAGGAUGUGUGGGGGCCGGGCGUGCGCCCCCCCCGUCCUCGGGGCUGGGGCCGCGGCCCCCCGGCCUUUGGCCGUGAAGCUCCGCUGCCUGGCUGUCGAGUCUCGUUCCUGUGGCUGCGGGGGAAGGCCGAGCUCCCCGACUCCCUGGGUGUCGACCUGCCUGUAAGCAGGGUUCCGGGUCUGGGAGCCUUUGUGCUCAGCUGGCAGCCUGCGUGGGGUGACCGGCCCCGUUAGCGGGGUGCGGGUCGGGGUGCCCCUGAAUCGGAGAGAAGGAGCCUCCGUGGGCCUUUGGGACCAGGGCUGCCCUGUAAGUCAGGGCCCGGCCAGUGCCCUGCAGUCCCGGGCGCUUUGCGGUCCAGGCAGCGGCUCGAGCCCCCUGUAAGCAGGGACGCGGAGCCUCGUUGGCCGCUGCUUUGCAUGCCCAGCUUCGUUUGCCCAGGGUGCCCGCCUCCGAGCCCGGCUCCAGCACCGGCUGGAACUCUGGCCUGCGUCGCUUUGCGGCCGGCGGAGAAGAAAGAAGAGGCUUCGUGUGGAACGGCGAGGCAAGAGUGAGCGAGAAGAGGAGCGGCGUCGGGCUGAAGAGCGAGCGGGCAGGAGAAAGGCGCUCUGGGCAAAGGGACCUCCCUGUCAGCAGGGCGCGGUCACGUAAGAGCAUCGCGGGCACCUUUGGGGUGCCCCGGCUGGCUUUGCGCUGGGCGACCUCCCUGUAACCAGGGCUCGGUCUUUGCUUUUGUUGUCGUCGGCCUUUUGCCGUCGUGCUCCUUUGGCUGCCCGGAGAGAGCGGCGACCCUGUAAGGAGGGUGAGAGCCGCCGUCUCCGCACCCGAGGGGGAAGGGGAGCUGUCUGGACCCCGAGCCCACCCUGUAAGCAGGGGAGGGCCGUUUCCCUGGCCCCGGCGGCUUUCUGCCUGCUGGAGGCCUGCCCAGCGUGACGCCCUGGAGUCAGGGCGUGUCACGGCGUUUGCCCCUUGGCCACCUGUGGAAGCCCCUUGGCAUGUUGAGGCCCCUGUGGCCUCCGUGCAGCCCGGGGGGCAGGUCUGAGGCUCUCCUCUCCCGCUCGGCGGUAGGGUUGGCUCCCCAGACAUUGGCUGCACAGGGCUCGCUCUCCUUUCUAGGAAGUUCUGUUUGUCCCUGUUUGCGUGCGUCCGUGUCUGCGUCUGUGUGAGUGAGCAGCGAAUGAGCUUCUUGUUUAGGCCCCUGUUAAUAUUGCUGCAGCGUACUUAGCUUGAGCUUCCCAGGAGGGAAAGGGCGGCUCUGUGCAGCAACAGGGGGGUCCCCUCUGAGCCCGCGAGCGGAGGGAGAGUCCGGGCUUGCCCCUCCUUUCUAUAAGGACGGAGCGAAGCCGCUUAGCGGUAGAGCGGGCAACGCGACCUGCCUGUAGUCAGGGCCUGGGUCUCUGUGCCUGCGUGGCCGCCUGUCCUGCUGGUGGCCUGCUCGGCGUGACAGCCCUGUACUCGGGGCGUGUGUCACGAGCCGUGGAGCCCUCUUGUCCCCAGGAGCAGCCCGACCUCCCCGUAAGCGGGGCUGGGGGGGCCGCUCUAGCCAGCCCACAGGAACGAGCCCUCCCUCGCCCUUUAGCGGGCGCAGGUUGAGGAAGCGCUGCGCCGGAGGGCGCAGUCCCGCCUUUGGCGCUGCUUUUGGCUGGGGCGACCUCCCCGCGGUUGGGGUCGAGGUCGCUCCCUGGGCUCCUGAAGACGUGGCGUUGUGCUGCAGCCAGGCCGGCCGGCCCGUAAGUCGGGCGCAGGUGGGAGCCUCGGGCUCCGCGGGGCUUGUUGGGAGAGCCGAGCCGAGGGGGGCCGCCCUGUAAGCAGGGCUGUGCGUGUCCCCCGCGCUCGGCGGGAGGUGCUUGGAGGGACCCCCUGUAAUCAGGCGGGUAUCUCCUGGCCCCGGCCUUUCAGAGGCGCGGGGCCAGGAUGCGUGGGGGCCGGGCGUGCGCCCCCCCCGUCCUCGGGGCUGGGGCCGCGGCCCCCCGGCCUUUGGCCGUGAAGCUCCGCUGCCUGGCUGUCGAGUCUCGUUCCUGUGGCUGCGGGGGAAGGCCGAGCUCCCCGACUCCCUGGGUGUCGACCUGCCUGUAAGCAGGGUUCCGGGUCUGGGAGCCUUUGUGCUCAGCUGGCAGCCUGCGUGGGGUGACCGGCCCCGUUAGCGGGGUGCGGGUCGGGGUGCCCCUGAAUCGGAGAGAAGGAGCCUCCGUGGGCCUUUGGGACCAGGGCUGCCCUGUAAGUCAGGGCCCGGCCAGUGCCCUGCAGUCCCGGGCGCUUUGCGGUCCAGGCAGCGGCUCGAGCCCCCUGUAAGCAGGGACGCGGAGCCUCGUUGGCCGCUGCUUUGCAUGCCCAGCUUCGUUUGCCCAGGGUGCCCGCCUCCGAGCCCGGCUCCAGCACCGGCUGGAACUCUGGCCUGCGUCGCUUUGCGGCCGGCGGAGAAGAAAGAAGAGGCUUCGUGUGGAACGGCGAGGCAAGAGUGAGCGAGAAGAGGAGCGGCGUCGGGCUGAAGAGCGAGCGGGCAGGAGAAAGGCGCUCUGGGCAAAGGGACCUCCCUGUCAGCAGGGCGCGGUCACGUAAGAGCAUCGCGGGCACCUUUGGGGUGCCCCGGCUGGCUUUGCGCUGGGCGACCUCCCUGUAACCAGGGCUCGGUCUUUGCUUUUGUUGUCGUCGGCCUUUUGCCGUCGUGCUCCUUUGGCUGCCCGGAGAGAGCGGCGACCCUGUAAGGAGGGUGAGAGCCGCCGUCUCCGCACCCGAGGGGGAAGGGGAGCUGUCUGGACCCCGAGCCCACCCUGUAAGCAGGGGAGGGCCGUUUCCCUGGCCCCGGCGGCUUUCUGCCUGCUGGAGGCCUGCCCAGCGUGACGCCCUGGAGUCAGGGCGUGUCACGGCGUUUGCCCCUUGGCCACCUGUGGAAGCCCCUUGGCAUGUUGAGGCCCCUGUGGCCUCCGUGCAGCCCGGGGGGCAGGUCUGAGGCUCUCCUCUCCCGCUCGGCGGUAGGGUUGGCUCCCCAGACAUUGGCUGCACAGGGCUCGCUCUCCUUUCUAGGAAGUUCUGUUUGUCCCUGUUUGCGUGCGUCCGUGUCUGCGUCUGUGUGAGUGAGCAGCGAAUGAGCUUCUUGUUUAGGCCCCUGUUAAUAUUGCUGCAGCGUACUUAGCUUGAGCUUCCCAGGAGGGAAAGGGCGGCUCUGUGCAGCAACAGGGGGGUCCCCUCUGAGCCCGCGAGCGGAGGGAGAGUCCGGGCUUGCCCCUCCUUUCUAUAAGGACGGAGCGAAGCCGCUUAGCGGUAGAGCGGGCAACGCGACCUGCCUGUAGUCAGGGCCUGGGUCUCUGUGCCUGCGUGGCCGCCUGUCCUGCUGGUGGCCUGCUCGGCGUGACAGCCCUGUACUCGGGGCGUGUGUCACGAGCCGUGGAGCCCUCUUGUCCCCAGGAGCAGCCCGACCUCCCCGUAAGCGGGGCUGGGGGGGCCGCUCUAGCCAGCCCACAGGAACGAGCCCUCCCUCGCCCUUUAGCGGGCGCAGGUUGAGGAAGCGCUGCGCCGGAGGGCGCAGUCCCGCCUUUGGCGCUGCUUUUGGCUGGGGCGACCUCCCCGCGGUUGGGGUCGAGGUCGCUCCCUGGGCUCCUGAAGACGUGGCGUUGUGCUGCAGCCAGGCCGGCCGGCCCGUAAGUCGGGCGCAGGUGGGAGCCUCGGGCUCCGCGGGGCUUGUUGGGAGAGCCGAGCCGAGGGGGGCCGCCCUGUAAGCAGGGCUGUGCGUGUCCCCCGCGCUCGGCGGGAGGUGCUUGGAGGGACCCCCUGUAAUCAGGCGGGUAUCUCCUGGCCCCGGCCUUUCAGAGGCGCGGGGCCAGGAUGCGUGGGGGCCGGGCGUGCGCCCCCCCCGUCCUCGGGGCUGGGGCCGCGGCCCCCCGGCCUUUGGCCGUGAAGCUCCGCUGCCUGGCUGUCGAGUCUCGUUCCUGUGGCUGCGGGGGAAGGCCGAGCUCCCCGACUCCCUGGGUGUCGACCUGCCUGUAAGCAGGGUUCCGGGUCUGGGAGCCUUUGUGCUCAGCUGGCAGCCUGCGUGGGGUGACCGGCCCCGUUAGCAGGGUGCGGGUCGGGGUGCCCCUGAAUCGGAGAGAAGGAGCCUCCGUGGGCCUUUGGGACCAGGGCUGCCCUGUAAGUCAGGGCCCGGCCAGUGCCCUGCAGUCCCGGGCGCUUUGCGGUCCAGGCAGCGGCUCGAGCCCCCUGUAAGCAGGGACGCGGAGCCUCGUUGGCCGCUGCUUUGCAUGCCCAGCUUCGUUUGCCCAGGGUGCCCGCCUCCGAGCCCGGCUCCAGCACCGGCUGGAACUCUGGCCUGCGUCGCUUUGCGGCCGGCGGAGAAGAAAGAAGAGGCUUCGUGUGGAACGGCGAGGCAAGAGUGAGCGAGAAGAGGAGCGGCGUCGGGCUGAAGAGCGAGCGGGCAGGAGAAAGGCGCUCUGGGCAAAGGGACCUCCCUGUCAGCAGGGCGCGGUCACGUAAGAGCAUCGCGGGCACCUUUGGGGUGCCCCGGCUGGCUUUGCGCUGGGCGACCUCCCUGUAACCAGGGCUCGGUCUUUGCUUUUGUUGUCGUCGGCCUUUUGCCGUCGUGCUCCUUUGGCUGCCCGGAGAGAGCGGCGACCCUGUAAGGAGGGUGAGAGCCGCCGUCUCCGCACCCGAGGGGGAAGGGGAGCUGUCUGGACCCCGAGCCCACCCUGUAAGCAGGGGAGGGCCGUUUCCCUGGCCCCGGCGGCUUUCUGCCUGCUGGAGGCCUGCCCAGCGUGACGCCCUGGAGUCAGGGCGUGUCACGGCGUUUGCCCCUUGGCCACCUGUGGAAGCCCCUUGGCAUGUUGAGGCCCCUGUGGCCUCCGUGCAGCCCGGGGGGCAGGUCUGAGGCUCUCCUCUCCCGCUCGGCGGUAGGGUUGGCUCCCCAGACAUUGGCUGCACAGGGCUCGCUCUCCUUUCUAGGAAGUUCUGUUUGUCCCUGUUUGCGUGCGUCCGUGUCUGCGUCUGUGUGAGUGAGCAGCGAAUGAGCUUCUUGUUUAGGCCCCUGUUAAUAUUGCUGCAGCGUACUUAGCUUGAGCUUCCCAGGAGGGAAAGGGCGGCUCUGUGCAGCAACAGGGGGGUCCCCUCUGAGCCCGCGAGCGGAGGGAGAGUCCGGGCUUGCCCCUCCUUUCUAUAAGGACGGAGCGAAGCCGCUUAGCGGUAGAGCGGGCAACGCGACCUGCCUGUAGUCAGGGCCUGGGUCUCUGUGCCUGCGUGGCCGCCUGUCCUGCUGGUGGCCUGCUCGGCGUGACAGCCCUGUACUCGGGGCGUGUGUCACGAGCCGUGGAGCCCUCUUGUCCCCAGGAGCAGCCCGACCUCCCCGUAAGCGGGGCUGGGGGGGCCGCUCUAGCCAGCCCACAGGAACGAGCCCUCCCUCGCCCUUUAGCGGGCGCAGGUUGAGGAAGCGCUGCGCCGGAGGGCGCAGUCCCGCCUUUGGCGCUGCUUUUGGCUGGGGCGACCUCCCCGCGGUUGGGGUCGAGGUCGCUCCCUGGGCUCCUGAAGACGUGGCGUUGUGCUGCAGCCAGGCCGGCCGGCCCGUAAGUCGGGCGCAGGUGGGAGCCUCGGGCUCCGCGGGGCUUGUUGGGAGAGCCGAGCCGAGGGGGGCCGCCCUGUAAGCAGGGCUGUGCGUGUCCCCCGCGCUCGGCGGGAGGUGCUUGGAGGGACCCCCUGUAAUCAGGCGGGUAUCUCCUGGCCCCGGCCUUUCAGAGGCGCGGGGCCAGGAUGCGUGGGGGCCGGGCGUGCGCCCCCCCCGUCCUCGGGGCUGGGGCCGCGGCCCCCCGGCCUUUGGCCGUGAAGCUCCGCUGCCUGGCUGUCGAGUCUCGUUCCUGUGGCUGCGGGGGAAGGCCGAGCUCCCCGACUCCCUGGGUGUCGACCUGCCUGUAAGCAGGGUUCCGGGUCUGGGAGCCUUUGUGCUCAGCUGGCAGCCUGCGUGGGGUGACCGGCCCCGUUAGCGGGGUGCGGGUCGGGGUGCCCCUGAAUCGGAGAGAAGGAGCCUCCGUGGGCCUUUGGGACCAGGGCUGCCCUGUAAGUCAGGGCCCGGCCAGUGCCCUGCAGUCCCGGGCGCUUUGCGGUCCAGGCAGCGGCUCGAGCCCCCUGUAAGCAGGGACGCGGAGCCUCGUUGGCCGCUGCUUUGCAUGCCCAGCUUCGUUUGCCCAGGGUGCCCGCCUCCGAGCCCGGCUCCAGCACCGGCUGGAACUCUGGCCUGCGUCGCUUUGCGGCCGGCGGAGAAGAAAGAAGAGGCUUCGUGUGGAACGGCGAGGCAAGAGUGAGCGAGAAGAGGAGCGGCGUCGGGCUGAAGAGCGAGCGGGCAGGAGAAAGGCGCUCUGGGCAAAGGGACCUCCCUGUCAGCAGGGCGCGGUCACGUAAGAGCAUCGCGGGCACCUUUGGGGUGCCCCGGCUGGCUUUGCGCUGGGCGACCUCCCUGUAACCAGGGCUCGGUCUUUGCUUUUGUUGUCGUCGGCCUUUUGCCGUCGUGCUCCUUUGGCUGCCCGGAGAGAGCGGCGACCCUGUAAGGAGGGUGAGAGCCGCCGUCUCCGCACCCGAGGGGGAAGGGGAGCUGUCUGGACCCCGAGCCCACCCUGUAAGCAGGGGAGGGCCGUUUCCCUGGCCCCGGCGGCUUUCUGCCUGCUGGAGGCCUGCCCAGCGUGACGCCCUGGAGUCAGGGCGUGUCACGGCGUUUGCCCCUUGGCCACCUGUGGAAGCCCCUUGGCAUGUUGAGGCCCCUGUGGCCUCCGUGCAGCCCGGGGGGCAGGUCUGAGGCUCUCCUCUCCCGCUCGGCGGUAGGGUUGGCUCCCCAGACAUUGGCUGCACAGGGCUCGCUCUCCUUUCUAGGAAGUUCUGUUUGUCCCUGUUUGCGUGCGUCCGUGUCUGCGUCUGUGUGAGUGAGCAGCGAAUGAGCUUCUUGUUUAGGCCCCUGUUAAUAUUGCUGCAGCGUACUUAGCUUGAGCUUCCCAGGAGGGAAAGGGCGGCUCUGUGCAGCAACAGGGGGGUCCCCUCUGAGCCCGCGAGCGGAGGGAGAGUCCGGGCUUGCCCCUCCUUUCUAUAAGGACGGAGCGAAGCCGCUUAGCGGUAGAGCGGGCAACGCGACCUGCCUGUAGUCAGGGCCUGGGUCUCUGUGCCUGCGUGGCCGCCUGUCCUGCUGGUGGCCUGCUCGGCGUGACAGCCCUGUACUCGGGGCGUGUGUCACGAGCCGUGGAGCCCUCUUGUCCCCAGGAGCAGCCCGACCUCCCCGUAAGCGGGGCUGGGGGGGCCGCUCUAGCCAGCCCACAGGAACGAGCCCUCCCUCGCCCUUUAGCGGGCGCAGGUUGAGGAAGCGCUGCGCCGGAGGGCGCAGUCCCGCCUUUGGCGCUGCUUUUGGCUGGGGCGACCUCCCCGCGGUUGGGGUCGAGGUCGCUCCCUGGGCUCCUGAAGACGUGGCGUUGUGCUGCAGCCAGGCCGGCCGGCCCGUAAGUCGGGCGCAGGUGGGAGCCUCGGGCUCCGCGGGGCUUGUUGGGAGAGCCGAGCCGAGGGGGGCCGCCCUGUAAGCAGGGCUGUGCGUGUCCCCCGCGCUCGGCGGGAGGUGCUUGGAGGGACCCCCUGUAAUCAGGCGGGUAUCUCCUGGCCCCGGCCUUUCAGAGGCGCGGGGCCAGGAUGCGUGGGGGCCGGGCGUGCGCCCCCCCCGUCCUCGGGGCUGGGGCCGCGGCCCCCCGGCCUUUGGCCGUGAAGCUCCGCUGCCUGGCUGUCGAGUCUCGUUCCUGUGGCUGCGGGGGAAGGCCGAGCUCCCCGACUCCCUGGGUGUCGACCUGCCUGUAAGCAGGGUUCCGGGUCUGGGAGCCUUUGUGCUCAGCUGGCAGCCUGCGUGGGGUGACCGGCCCCGUUAGCGGGGUGCGGGUCGGGGUGCCCCUGAAUCGGAGAGAAGGAGCCUCCGUGGGCCUUUGGGACCAGGGCUGCCCUGUAAGUCAGGGCCCGGCCAGUGCCCUGCAGUCCCGGGCGCUUUGCGGUCCAGGCAGCGGCUCGAGCCCCCUGUAAGCAGGGACGCGGAGCCUCGUUGGCCGCUGCUUUGCAUGCCCAGCUUCGUUUGCCCAGGGUGCCCGCCUCCGAGCCCGGCUCCAGCACCGGCUGGAACUCUGGCCUGCGUCGCUUUGCGGCCGGCGGAGAAGAAAGAAGAGGCUUCGUGUGGAACGGCGAGGCAAGAGUGAGCGAGAAGAGGAGCGGCGUCGGGCUGAAGAGCGAGCGGGCAGGAGAAAGGCGCUCUGGGCAAAGGGACCUCCCUGUCAGCAGGGCGCGGUCACGUAAGAGCAUCGCGGGCACCUUUGGGGUGCCCCGGCUGGCUUUGCGCUGGGCGACCUCCCUGUAACCAGGGCUCGGUCUUUGCUUUUGUUGUCGUCGGCCUUUUGCCGUCGUGCUCCUUUGGCUGCCCGGAGAGAGCGGCGACCCUGUAAGGAGGGUGAGAGCCGCCGUCUCCGCACCCGAGGGGGAAGGGGAGCUGUCUGGACCCCGAGCCCACCCUGUAAGCAGGGGAGGGCCGUUUCCCUGGCCCCGGCGGCUUUCUGCCUGCUGGAGGCCUGCCCAGCGUGACGCCCUGGAGUCAGGGCGUGUCACGGCGUUUGCCCCUUGGCCACCUGUGGAAGCCCCUUGGCAUGUUGAGGCCCCUGUGGCCUCCGUGCAGCCCGGGGGGCAGGUCUGAGGCUCUCCUCUCCCGCUCGGCGGUAGGGUUGGCUCCCCAGACAUUGGCUGCACAGGGCUCGCUCUCCUUUCUAGGAAGUUCUGUUUGUCCCUGUUUGCGUGCGUCCGUGUCUGCGUCUGUGUGAGUGAGCAGCGAAUGAGCUUCUUGUUUAGGCCCCUGUUAAUAUUGCUGCAGCGUACUUAGCUUGAGCUUCCCAGGAGGGAAAGGGCGGCUCUGUGCAGCAACAGGGGGGUCCCCUCUGAGCCCGCGAGCGGAGGGAGAGUCCGGGCUUGCCCCUCCUUUCUAUAAGGACGGAGCGAAGCCGCUUAGCGGUAGAGCGGGCAACGCGACCUGCCUGUAGUCAGGGCCUGGGUCUCUGUGCCUGCGUGGCCGCCUGUCCUGCUGGUGGCCUGCUCGGCGUGACAGCCCUGUACUCGGGGCGUGUGUCACGAGCCGUGGAGCCCUCUUGUCCCCAGGAGCAGCCCGACCUCCCCGUAAGCGGGGCUGGGGGGGCCGCUCUAGCCAGCCCACAGGAACGAGCCCUCCCUCGCCCUUUAGCGGGCGCAGGUUGAGGAAGCGCUGCGCCGGAGGGCGCAGUCCCGCCUUUGGCGCUGCUUUUGGCUGGGGCGACCUCCCCGCGGUUGGGGUCGAGGUCGCUCCCUGGGCUCCUGAAGACGUGGCGUUGUGCUGCAGCCAGGCCGGCCGGCCCGUAAGUCGGGCGCAGGUGGGAGCCUCGGGCUCCGCGGGGCUUGUUGGGAGAGCCGAGCCGAGGGGGGCCGCCCUGUAAGCAGGGCUGUGCGUGUCCCCCGCGCUCGGCGGGAGGUGCUUGGAGGGACCCCCUGUAAUCAGGCGGGUAUCUCCUGGCCCCGGCCUUUCAGAGGCGCGGGGCCAGGAUGCGUGGGGGCCGGGCGUGCGCCCCCCCCGUCCUCGGGGCUGGGGCCGCGGCCCCCCGGCCUUUGGCCGUGAAGCUCCGCUGCCUGGCUGUCGAGUCUCGUUCCUGUGGCUGCGGGGGAAGGCCGAGCUCCCCGACUCCCUGGGUGUCGACCUGCCUGUAAGCAGGGUUCCGGGUCUGGGAGCCUUUGUGCUCAGCUGGCAGCCUGCGUGGGGUGACCGGCCCCGUUAGCGGGGUGCGGGUCGGGGUGCCCCUGAAUCGGAGAGAAGGAGCCUCCGUGGGCCUUUGGGACCAGGGCUGCCCUGUAAGUCAGGGCCCGGCCAGUGCCCUGCAGUCCCGGGCGCUUUGCGGUCCAGGCAGCGGCUCGAGCCCCCUGUAAGCAGGGACGCGGAGCCUCGUUGGCCGCUGCUUUGCAUGCCCAGCUUCGUUUGCCCAGGGUGCCCGCCUCCGAGCCCGGCUCCAGCACCGGCUGGAACUCUGGCCUGCGUCGCUUUGCGGCCGGCGGAGAAGAAAGAAGAGGCUUCGUGUGGAACGGCGAGGCAAGAGUGAGCGAGAAGAGGAGCGGCGUCGGGCUGAAGAGCGAGCGGGCAGGAGAAAGGCGCUCUGGGCAAAGGGACCUCCCUGUCAGCAGGGCGCGGUCACGUAAGAGCAUCGCGGGCACCUUUGGGGUGCCCCGGCUGGCUUUGCGCUGGGCGACCUCCCUGUAACCAGGGCUCGGUCUUUGCUUUUGUUGUCGUCGGCCUUUUGCCGUCGUGCUCCUUUGGCUGCCCGGAGAGAGCGGCGACCCUGUAAGGAGGGUGAGAGCCGCCGUCUCCGCACCCGAGGGGGAAGGGGAGCUGUCUGGACCCCGAGCCCACCCUGUAAGCAGGGGAGGGCCGUUUCCCUGGCCCCGGCGGCUUUCUGCCUGCUGGAGGCCUGCCCAGCGUGACGCCCUGGAGUCAGGGCGUGUCACGGCGUUUGCCCCUUGGCCACCUGUGGAAGCCCCUUGGCAUGUUGAGGCCCCUGUGGCCUCCGUGCAGCCCGGGGGGCAGGUCUGAGGCUCUCCUCUCCCGCUCGGCGGUAGGGUUGGCUCCCCAGACAUUGGCUGCACAGGGCUCGCUCUCCUUUCUAGGAAGUUCUGUUUGUCCCUGUUUGCGUGCGUCCGUGUCUGCGUCUGUGUGAGUGAGCAGCGAAUGAGCUUCUUGUUUAGGCCCCUGUUAAUAUUGCUGCAGCGUACUUAGCUUGAGCUUCCCAGGAGGGAAAGGGCGGCUCUGUGCAGCAACAGGGGGGUCCCCUCUGAGCCCGCGAGCGGAGGGAGAGUCCGGGCUUGCCCCUCCUUUCUAUAAGGACGGAGCGAAGCCGCUUAGCGGUAGAGCGGGCAACGCGACCUGCCUGUAGUCAGGGCCUGGGUCUCUGUGCCUGCGUGGCCGCCUGUCCUGCUGGUGGCCUGCUCGGCGUGACAGCCCUGUACUCGGGGCGUGUGUCACGAGCCGUGGAGCCCUCUUGUCCCCAGGAGCAGCCCGACCUCCCCGUAAGCGGGGCUGGGGGGGCCGCUCUAGCCAGCCCACAGGAACGAGCCCUCCCUCGCCCUUUAGCGGGCGCAGGUUGAGGAAGCGCUGCGCCGGAGGGCGCAGUCCCGCCUUUGGCGCUGCUUUUGGCUGGGGCGACCUCCCCGCGGUUGGGGUCGAGGUCGCUCCCUGGGCUCCUGAAGACGUGGCGUUGUGCUGCAGCCAGGCCGGCCGGCCCGUAAGUCGGGCGCAGGUGGGAGCCUCGGGCUCCGCGGGGCUUGUUGGGAGAGCCGAGCCGAGGGGGGCCGCCCUGUAAGCAGGGCUGUGCGUGUCCCCCGCGCUCGGCGGGAGGUGCUUGGAGGGACCCCCUGUAAUCAGGCGGGUAUCUCCUGGCCCCGGCCUUUCAGAGGCGCGGGGCCAGGAUGCGUGGGGGCCGGGCGUGCGCCCCCCCCGUCCUCGGGGCUGGGGCCGCGGCCCCCCGGCCUUUGGCCGUGAAGCUCCGCUGCCUGGCUGUCGAGUCUCGUUCCUGUGGCUGCGGGGGAAGGCCGAGCUCCCCGACUCCCUGGGUGUCGACCUGCCUGUAAGCAGGGUUCCGGGUCUGGGAGCCUUUGUGCUCAGCUGGCAGCCUGCGUGGGGUGACCGGCCCCGUUAGCGGGGUGCGGGUCGGGGUGCCCCUGAAUCGGAGAGAAGGAGCCUCCGUGGGCCUUUGGGACCAGGGCUGCCCUGUAAGUCAGGGCCCGGCCAGUGCCCUGCAGUCCCGGGCGCUUUGCGGUCCAGGCAGCGGCUCGAGCCCCCUGUAAGCAGGGACGCGGAGCCUCGUUGGCCGCUGCUUUGCAUGCCCAGCUUCGUUUGCCCAGGGUGCCCGCCUCCGAGCCCGGCUCCAGCACCGGCUGGAACUCUGGCCUGCGUCGCUUUGCGGCCGGCGGAGAAGAAAGAAGAGGCUUCGUGUGGAACGGCGAGGCAAGAGUGAGCGAGAAGAGGAGCGGCGUCGGGCUGAAGAGCGAGCGGGCAGGAGAAAGGCGCUCUGGGCAAAGGGACCUCCCUGUCAGCAGGGCGCGGUCACGUAAGAGCAUCGCGGGCACCUUUGGGGUGCCCCGGCUGGCUUUGCGCUGGGCGACCUCCCUGUAACCAGGGCUCGGUCUUUGCUUUUGUUGUCGUCGGCCUUUUGCCGUCGUGCUCCUUUGGCUGCCCGGAGAGAGCGGCGACCCUGUAAGGAGGGUGAGAGCCGCCGUCUCCGCACCCGAGGGGGAAGGGGAGCUGUCUGGACCCCGAGCCCACCCUGUAAGCAGGGGAGGGCCGUUUCCCUGGCCCCGGCGGCUUUCUGCCUGCUGGAGGCCUGCCCAGCGUGACGCCCUGGAGUCAGGGCGUGUCACGGCGUUUGCCCCUUGGCCACCUGUGGAAGCCCCUUGGCAUGUUGAGGCCCCUGUGGCCUCCGUGCAGCCCGGGGGGCAGGUCUGAGGCUCUCCUCUCCCGCUCGGCGGUAGGGUUGGCUCCCCAGACAUUGGCUGCACAGGGCUCGCUCUCCUUUCUAGGAAGUUCUGUUUGUCCCUGUUUGCGUGCGUCCGUGUCUGCGUCUGUGUGAGUGAGCAGCGAAUGAGCUUCUUGUUUAGGCCCCUGUUAAUAUUGCUGCAGCGUACUUAGCUUGAGCUUCCCAGGAGGGAAAGGGCGGCUCUGUGCAGCAACAGGGGGGUCCCCUCUGAGCCCGCGAGCGGAGGGAGAGUCCGGGCUUGCCCCUCCUUUCUAUAAGGACGGAGCGAAGCCGCUUAGCGGUAGAGCGGGCAACGCGACCUGCCUGUAGUCAGGGCCUGGGUCUCUGUGCCUGCGUGGCCGCCUGUCCUGCUGGUGGCCUGCUCGGCGUGACAGCCCUGUACUCGGGGCGUGUGUCACGAGCCGUGGAGCCCUCUUGUCCCCAGGAGCAGCCCGACCUCCCCGUAAGCGGGGCUGGGGGGGCCGCUCUAGCCAGCCCACAGGAACGAGCCCUCCCUCGCCCUUUAGCGGGCGCAGGUUGAGGAAGCGCUGCGCCGGAGGGCGCAGUCCCGCCUUUGGCGCUGCUUUUGGCUGGGGCGACCUCCCCGCGGUUGGGGUCGAGGUCGCUCCCUGGGCUCCUGAAGACGUGGCGUUGUGCUGCAGCCAGGCCGGCCGGCCCGUAAGUCGGGCGCAGGUGGGAGCCUCGGGCUCCGCGGGGCUUGUUGGGAGAGCCGAGCCGAGGGGGGCCGCCCUGUAAGCAGGGCUGUGCGUGUCCCCCGCGCUCGGCGGGAGGUGCUUGGAGGGACCCCCUGUAAUCAGGCGGGUAUCUCCUGGCCCCGGCCUUUCAGAGGCGCGGGGCCAGGAUGCGUGGGGGCCGGGCGUGCGCCCCCCCCGUCCUCGGGGCUGGGGCCGCGGCCCCCCGGCCUUUGGCCGUGAAGCUCCGCUGCCUGGCUGUCGAGUCUCGUUCCUGUGGCUGCGGGGGAAGGCCGAGCUCCCCGACUCCCUGGGUGUCGACCUGCCUGUAAGCAGGGUUCCGGGUCUGGGAGCCUUUGUGCUCAGCUGGCAGCCUGCGUGGGGUGACCGGCCCCGUUAGCGGGGUGCGGGUCGGGGUGCCCCUGAAUCGGAGAGAAGGAGCCUCCGUGGGCCUUUGGGACCAGGGCUGCCCUGUAAGUCAGGGCCCGGCCAGUGCCCUGCAGUCCCGGGCGCUUUGCGGUCCAGGCAGCGGCUCGAGCCCCCUGUAAGCAGGGACGCGGAGCCUCGUUGGCCGCUGCUUUGCAUGCCCAGCUUCGUUUGCCCAGGGUGCCCGCCUCCGAGCCCGGCUCCAGCACCGGCUGGAACUCUGGCCUGCGUCGCUUUGCGGCCGGCGGAGAAGAAAGAAGAGGCUUCGUGUGGAACGGCGAGGCAAGAGUGAGCGAGAAGAGGAGCGGCGUCGGGCUGAAGAGCGAGCGGGCAGGAGAAAGGCGCUCUGGGCAAAGGGACCUCCCUGUCAGCAGGGCGCGGUCACGUAAGAGCAUCGCGGGCACCUUUGGGGUGCCCCGGCUGGCUUUGCGCUGGGCGACCUCCCUGUAACCAGGGCUCGGUCUUUGCUUUUGUUGUCGUCGGCCUUUUGCCGUCGUGCUCCUUUGGCUGCCCGGAGAGAGCGGCGACCCUGUAAGGAGGGUGAGAGCCGCCGUCUCCGCACCCGAGGGGGAAGGGGAGCUGUCUGGACCCCGAGCCCACCCUGUAAGCAGGGGAGGGCCGUUUCCCUGGCCCCGGCGGCUUUCUGCCUGCUGGAGGCCUGCCCAGCGUGACGCCCUGGAGUCAGGGCGUGUCACGGCGUUUGCCCCUUGGCCACCUGUGGAAGCCCCUUGGCAUGUUGAGGCCCCUGUGGCCUCCGUGCAGCCCGGGGGGCAGGUCUGAGGCUCUCCUCUCCCGCUCGGCGGUAGGGUUGGCUCCCCAGACAUUGGCUGCACAGGGCUCGCUCUCCUUUCUAGGAAGUUCUGUUUGUCCCUGUUUGCGUGCGUCCGUGUCUGCGUCUGUGUGAGUGAGCAGCGAAUGAGCUUCUUGUUUAGGCCCCUGUUAAUAUUGCUGCAGCGUACUUAGCUUGAGCUUCCCAGGAGGGAAAGGGCGGCUCUGUGCAGCAACAGGGGGGUCCCCUCUGAGCCCGCGAGCGGAGGGAGAGUCCGGGCUUGCCCCUCCUUUCUAUAAGGACGGAGCGAAGCCGCUUAGCGGUAGAGCGGGCAACGCGACCUGCCUGUAGUCAGGGCCUGGGUCUCUGUGCCUGCGUGGCCGCCUGUCCUGCUGGUGGCCUGCUCGGCGUGACAGCCCUGUACUCGGGGCGUGUGUCACGAGCCGUGGAGCCCUCUUGUCCCCAGGAGCAGCCCGACCUCCCCGUAAGCGGGGCUGGGGGGGCCGCUCUAGCCAGCCCACAGGAACGAGCCCUCCCUCGCCCUUUAGCGGGCGCAGGUUGAGGAAGCGCUGCGCCGGAGGGCGCAGUCCCGCCUUUGGCGCUGCUUUUGGCUGGGGCGACCUCCCCGCGGUUGGGGUCGAGGUCGCUCCCUGGGCUCCUGAAGACGUGGCGUUGUGCUGCAGCCAGGCCGGCCGGCCCGUAAGUCGGGCGCAGGUGGGAGCCUCGGGCUCCGCGGGGCUUGUUGGGAGAGCCGAGCCGAGGGGGGCCGCCCUGUAAGCAGGGCUGUGCGUGUCCCCCGCGCUCGGCGGGAGGUGCUUGGAGGGACCCCCUGUAAUCAGGCGGGUAUCUCCUGGCCCCGGCCUUUCAGAGGCGCGGGGCCAGGAUGCGUGGGGGCCGGGCGUGCGCCCCCCCCGUCCUCGGGGCUGGGGCCGCGGCCCCCCGGCCUUUGGCCGUGAAGCUCCGCUGCCUGGCUGUCGAGUCUCGUUCCUGUGGCUGCGGGGGAAGGCCGAGCUCCCCGACUCCCUGGGUGUCGACCUGCCUGUAAGCAGGGUUCCGGGUCUGGGAGCCUUUGUGCUCAGCUGGCAGCCUGCGUGGGGUGACCGGCCCCGUUAGCGGGGUGCGGGUCGGGGUGCCCCUGAAUCGGAGAGAAGGAGCCUCCGUGGGCCUUUGGGACCAGGGCUGCCCUGUAAGUCAGGGCCCGGCCAGUGCCCUGCAGUCCCGGGCGCUUUGCGGUCCAGGCAGCGGCUCGAGCCCCCUGUAAGCAGGGACGCGGAGCCUCGUUGGCCGCUGCUUUGCAUGCCCAGCUUCGUUUGCCCAGGGUGCCCGCCUCCGAGCCCGGCUCCAGCACCGGCUGGAACUCUGGCCUGCGUCGCUUUGCGGCCGGCGGAGAAGAAAGAAGAGGCUUCGUGUGGAACGGCGAGGCAAGAGUGAGCGAGAAGAGGAGCGGCGUCGGGCUGAAGAGCGAGCGGGCAGGAGAAAGGCGCUCUGGGCAAAGGGACCUCCCUGUCAGCAGGGCGCGGUCACGUAAGAGCAUCGCGGGCACCUUUGGGGUGCCCCGGCUGGCUUUGCGCUGGGCGACCUCCCUGUAACCAGGGCUCGGUCUUUGCUUUUGUUGUCGUCGGCCUUUUGCCGUCGUGCUCCUUUGGCUGCCCGGAGAGAGCGGCGACCCUGUAAGGAGGGUGAGAGCCGCCGUCUCCGCACCCGAGGGGGAAGGGGAGCUGUCUGGACCCCGAGCCCACCCUGUAAGCAGGGGAGGGCCGUUUCCCUGGCCCCGGCGGCUUUCUGCCUGCUGGAGGCCUGCCCAGCGUGACGCCCUGGAGUCAGGGCGUGUCACGGCGUUUGCCCCUUGGCCACCUGUGGAAGCCCCUUGGCAUGUUGAGGCCCCUGUGGCCUCCGUGCAGCCCGGGGGGCAGGUCUGAGGCUCUCCUCUCCCGCUCGGCGGUAGGGUUGGCUCCCCAGACAUUGGCUGCACAGGGCUCGCUCUCCUUUCUAGGAAGUUCUGUUUGUCCCUGUUUGCGUGCGUCCGUGUCUGCGUCUGUGUGAGUGAGCAGCGAAUGAGCUUCUUGUUUAGGCCCCUGUUAAUAUUGCUGCAGCGUACUUAGCUUGAGCUUCCCAGGAGGGAAAGGGCGGCUCUGUGCAGCAACAGGGGGGUCCCCUCUGAGCCCGCGAGCGGAGGGAGAGUCCGGGCUUGCCCCUCCUUUCUAUAAGGACGGAGCGAAGCCGCUUAGCGGUAGAGCGGGCAACGCGACCUGCCUGUAGUCAGGGCCUGGGUCUCUGUGCCUGCGUGGCCGCCUGUCCUGCUGGUGGCCUGCUCGGCGUGACAGCCCUGUACUCGGGGCGUGUGUCACGAGCCGUGGAGCCCUCUUGUCCCCAGGAGCAGCCCGACCUCCCCGUAAGCGGGGCUGGGGGGGCCGCUCUAGCCAGCCCACAGGAACGAGCCCUCCCUCGCCCUUUAGCGGGCGCAGGUUGAGGAAGCGCUGCGCCGGAGGGCGCAGUCCCGCCUUUGGCGCUGCUUUUGGCUGGGGCGACCUCCCCGCGGUUGGGGUCGAGGUCGCUCCCUGGGCUCCUGAAGACGUGGCGUUGUGCUGCAGCCAGGCCGGCCGGCCCGUAAGUCGGGCGCAGGUGGGAGCCUCGGGCUCCGCGGGGCUUGUUGGGAGAGCCGAGCCGAGGGGGGCCGCCCUGUAAGCAGGGCUGUGCGUGUCCCCCGCGCUCGGCGGGAGGUGCUUGGAGGGACCCCCUGUAAUCAGGCGGGUAUCUCCUGGCCCCGGCCUUUCAGAGGCGCGGGGCCAGGAUGCGUGGGGGCCGGGCGUGCGCCCCCCCCCGUCCUCGGGGCUGGGGCCGCGGCCCCCCGGCCUUUGGCCGUGAAGCUCCGCUGCCUGGCUGUCGAGUCUCGUUCCUGUGGCUGCGGGGGAAGGCCGAGCUCCCCGACUCCCUGGGUGUCGACCUGCCUGUAAGCAGGGUUCCGGGUCUGGGAGCCUUUGUGCUCAGCUGGCAGCCUGCGUGGGGUGACCGGCCCCGUUAGCGGGGUGCGGGUCGGGGUGCCCCUGAAUCGGAGAGAAGGAGCCUCCGUGGGCCUUUGGGACCAGGGCUGCCCUGUAAGUCAGGGCCCGGCCAGUGCCCUGCAGUCCCGGGCACUUUGCGGUCCAGGCAGCGGCUCGAGCCCCCUGUAAGCAGGGACGCGGAGCCUCGUUGGCCGCUGCUUUGCAUGCCCAGCUUCGUUUGCCCAGGGUGCCCGCCUCCGAGCCCGGCUCCAGCACCGGCUGGAACUCUGGCCUGCGUCGCUUUGCAUCUUCAAAGGGGCG